rnacentral:rRNA from 1 species
AACGAACGCUGGCGGCAGGCUUAACACAUGCAAGUCGAACGAACGUAGCAAUACGUUAGUGGCAGACGGGUGAGUAACGCGUGGGAAUAUGCCCUUUAGUUCGGAAUAACCAAGGGAAACUUUGGCUAAUACCGGAUAAUCCCGAGAGGGGAAAGAUUUAUCGCUGAAGGAGUAGCCCGCGUCUGAUUAGCUAGUUGGUGAGGUAAUGGCUCACCAAGGCGACGAUCAGUAGCUGGUCUGAGAGGAUGAUCAGCCACACUGGGACUGAGACACGGCCCAGACUCCUACGGGUGGCUG